GGAUCAUUAUCGAGUUAGGGUCUUCUAGGCCCGAUCUCCAACCCUGUGUCUAUUACACCACGUUGCUUCGGCGGGCCCGUCUCACGACCGCCGGAGGGUGAUUACCACCCUCUGGCCCGCGCCCGUCGAUGGCCUAAUCUAAAACUCUGUAUAACUGUGUUUGUCUGAGUAAACCAAAAAAUAAAUAAAAACUUUCAACAACGGAUCUCUUGGUUCUGGCAUCGAUGAAGAACGCAGCGAAAUGCGAUAAGUAAUGCGAAUUGCAGAAUUCCGUGAGUCAUCGAAUCUUUGAACGCACAUUGCGCCCUUUGGUAUUCCGAAGGGCAUGCCUGUUCGAGCGUCAUUAUCACCCCUCAAGCCUGGCUUGGUGUUGGACUCUCGGUCUGUUACAGGACCGGUCCCAAAGAUAAUGGCAGGUUGGUCGCAACCUCGGUACACUGAGCUUUCACUAGCACGUACUUGUAGGCGGCGAGCAACCUGGUCUACCCUCCAAUUUUUACAAGGUUGACCUC
rnacentral:rRNA from 1 species